GGGGUCGUAGCCUAGUGGUUAGAGCUUCGACUCACGACUGAAAGGCGGGGUUCGAUUCCCGAUCCCA
rfam:Macrostomum lignano uti_cns_0002700, whole genome shotgun sequence.